UACGUAGGGUGCAAGCGUUAAUCGGAAUUACUGGGCGUAAAGCGUGCGCAGGCGGUUAUGUAAGACAGAUGUGAAAUCCCCGGGCUUAACCUGGGAAUGGCAUUGGUGACUGCACGGCUAGAGUGUGUCAGAGGGGGGUAGAAUUCCACGUGUAGCAGUGAAAUGCGUAGAGAUGUGGAGGAACACCGAUGGCGAAGGCAGCCCCCUGGGUCAAGAUUGACGCUCAUGCACGAAAGCGUGGGGAGCAAACAGG
rnacentral:rRNA from 1 species